rnacentral:rRNA from 1 species
UACGUAGGCAGCGAGCGUUGUUCGGAAUUACUGGGCGUAAAGCGAGUGUAGGUGGUUGUCAUAGUCAGGUGUGAAAGCCUUGAGCUCAACUCAAGAAAUGCACUUGAUACUGGGCGACUAGAGGACCGGAGAGGAUAGUGGAAUUCCCAGUGUAGUGGUGAAAUACGUAGAGAUUGGGAAGAACACCAGUGGCGAAGGCGGCUAUCUGGACGGUUUCUGACACUAAGACUCGAAAGCGUGGGGAGCAAACAGG